AUGGUGGACAGGCAGGGAGAGUCUCGUCCAUGGUGGACAGGCAGGGAGAGUCUCGUCCAUGGUGGACAGGCAGGGAGAGUCUCGUCCAUGGUGGACAGGCAGGGAGAGUUCGUCCAUGUUGGCCAGGCAGGAGAGUCUCGUCCAUGGUGGUCAGGCAGGGAGAGUAGGCAGGGAGAGUGGCAGGAGAGUCAGCAGGAGAGUCAUGCCGGGGACAGUUCAGGGAGGGAGUCUCGUCCAUGGUGGACAGGCAGGGAGAGUCUCGUCCAUGGUGUGUCCAGGCAGGGAGAGUCUCGUCCAUGGUGGUCAGGCAGGGAGAGUCUCGUCCAUGGUGGUCAGGCGGCGAGUCUCGUCCAUGGUGGACAGGCAGGGAGAAUCCCGUCCAUGGUGGACAGGCGAGGAGAGUCUCGUACAUGGUGGCAGUCAGGGAGAGUUCGUUCAUGGUGGACAGGCUGGGAGAGUCUCGUCCAUGUGGACAGGCAGGGCGAGUUCUCGUCCAUGGUGGACAGGCAGGGGCAGUCUCGUCCCUGGUUGACAGCGGAGAGUCUCGUCCAUGGUGGACAGGCAGCAGGGAGAGUCUCGUACAUGGUGGAGGCAGGGAGGGAGGAGUUCGUACAUGGUGGACAGGCCGGGAGAGUCUCGUACAUGGUGGACAGGCGGAGAGUCUCGUACAUGGUGGGACGGCAGGGGAGUCUCGUACAUGGUGGCCCGAGCAGGAGAGUCUCGUCCAGGUGGAGGACAGGGCAGGGGAGUCUCGUCCAUGGUGGACAGGCCGGGAGAGUCUCGACAUGGUGGCACAGCCAGGGAGAGUCUCUUACAUGGUGGACAGGCAGGGAGGUCUCGUACUGGUGGACAGGCAGGGGAGUCUCGUACAUGGUGGACAGGCAGGGAGAGUCUCUAAUGGUGGACAGGCAGGGAGAGUCUCGUACAUGGUGGACAGCAAACCCUCAACCUUCUGGCUGUUGGCCCUGCGUGGCAUCAGCGUGUUCACAAAGAAUGCUCGAAGUUGUAAGACGAUAUGCCCAUGAUUAUAAACACGGCUUGCUACAGUUUAUUUAUGGUUGUAACAUCAUUGUUGUUACAUUUUAG
ensembl:lncRNA